CCUACGGGAGGCAGCAGUGAGGAAUAUUGGUCAAUGGGCGGGAGCCUGAACCAGCCAAGUCGCGUGAGGGAAGACGGUCCUAUGGAUUGUAAACCUCUUUAGGCGGGGAGCAAUGCCGGGCACGCGUGCCCGGAGGGAGAGUACCCGCAGAAUAAGCAUCGGCUAACUCCGUGCCAGCAGCCGCGGUAAUACGGAGGAUGCGAGCGUUAUCCGGAUUUAGUGGGUUUAAAGGGUGCGCAGGCGGCGAGUUAAGUCAGCGGUAAAAUUUCGGGGCUCAACCCCGACAAGCCGUUGAAACUGGAUUGCUAGAGUGGGCGAGAAGCAUGCGGAAUGCGUGGUGUAGCGGUGAAAUGCAUAGAUAUCACGCAGAACUCCGAUUGCGAAGGCAGCAUACCGGCGCCCAUCUGACGCUCAGGCACGAAGGCGUGGGUAUCGAACAGGAUUAGAUACCCUUGUAGUC
rnacentral:rRNA from 1 species